GAUGAACGCUGGCGGCGUGCUUAACACAUGCAAGUCGAACGGAAAGGCCCUGCUUUUGUGGGGUGCUCGAGUGGCGAACGGGUGAGUAACACGUGAGUAACCUGCCCUUGACUUUGGGAUAACUCUAGGAAACUGGGGCUAAUACCGGAUAGGAGCUCCUGCUGCAUGGUGGGGGGUGGAAAGUUUCGGCGGUUGGGGAUGGUCUCGCGGCUUAUCAGCUUGUUGGUGGGGUAGUGGCUUACCAAGGCUUUGACGGGUAGCCGGCCUGAGAGGGUGACCGGCCACAUUGGGACUGAGAUACGGCCCAGACUCCUACGGGAGGCAGCAGUGGGGAAUAUUGCACAAUGGGCGGAAGCCUGAUGCAGCAACGCCGCGUGCGGGAUGACGGCCUUCGGGUUGUAAACCGCUUUCGCCUGUGACGAAGCGUGAGUGACGGUAAUGGGUAAAGAAGCACCGGCUAACUACGUG
rnacentral:rRNA from 1 species